UAAAUAUCUUUUCACACUUUUUUUUUUCUUUUUCAAACAAAGCUUGUCAACUGUUUAGGUGGUCUUUUGUGGUUAUGGAGGUUGUAUGUAUUAAAAAUAGACUCUGACCCGUUUAGACUGGGUUCUUGUAUGUUUGACCCGUUUAGAAUGGCAAAUGAGAUUUUUGUUUAAGUUAGCUUUUUGACUCAGAGGUGCGUGGCCUAACCUAGGAAAACCCGUAACCAUUUCCGAUUUCUUUUCCCGGACCAUCUCCAAGAUGUAAAAUUUAGGAGGUUUGUCAUCUCCAAGAUGUGUAUUAGGGCACUAGGCCACCUUGGCGAGUUGGCGGUGGUAGUUCAUGUUUGAAACAUUUAGAGAUCAAAUAUAACCCAAGUCAGCGUAGUUUAGUAAAAUGGUUUGAAAAGGUCACAACCGAGGCAUUGAUGAUGAGCUUCUUAUUGUAUUAGCUAAUUAUCCAAAGAUGUGAUUAACGGUAUCUUUGUGGGGUAACUUUCUGCGGUUUUGUGUAUGAAUUAUUUGGAAUUAUCAACCUUAAUUGAUUUUUAGGUGUAAUGCAGCUAUGCCGGUUUAAUCCUCUUUAUUCAGAUUCAUUUUCUAAAUACACAUAUAUAUCCUUUGUUAGACGUAAAAGUAUUAAUUAUAGAUGACAAACUCUAAACAUGGGAGGUAACUACUGGUUUUCUACCUUGAAUUUGCCUAUGUCAGAUUUUAUGGCGGUGGGACAAAUGGGAUUGGCUUUGAGUGUGAGAGUGUAUAUGAAGUUAUAUUUGAAACUUGAAUCAAUUUGCUUUCUUCAUUGUUUUAUCAUAUUAUGUCUUUCACCAUUUUUGUUAAUAUAACUCAAAGAUUUCUUGGUUGUUUUGAUUAUUUUUGUGUAUGGUUCACAUUUGUUGCCAAGGAAAGUACGAGCCAAUCUAUUCUUUAAAUAAAUCUCUUUAAACAACUUGAGAGUUGAGUCCCAUGGAAUUUUUGCUUUAUGUUAUUCGGUACUCUUGGGCUUUGUUCAGUUUCGACCAAGGUCUUGAGUAAGUCGGUUUCAGCUUGGUGGGUUUGGGUUUGCGACUCUGCUGUUGUAUUGAUUGCUAGGUCCAUGUGAAUUUUGUUCGUCUAAUGUUUUUAUGUGUUCUGUUUUUAAUUUGUGUGUCAAGUAUUCAAGGGGGGUUGGCUUUUCUAGAUGGGCAGUUUCCUUUAUUCAAGUAGUAGUGUCUUUUAUCUGCUUGUGCCGAGGCCCGAGAUACAUAAUUGCUGGUGUUGUUGAUUUAAUAGUUUAAAAAGGUGGUCUCCAAAAAGAAAGCUUGAUUGCAAAGCUCUAUAACAAUACCAUCUUUGACUUUGUAUUGUAUAAUAAAGUGUAACACUAUGCUAAUAUUUUUUAUUUUAUUUUAUUUUAUUUAUUUAUUUUUUUUUUGCCGUUCUAAAAAUGAAAAAACACUAUGCUAAUGUUUUUUUUUCAAGUACCAUGGUGUGGGUUCUACUAUUUGGAAUUCGGGCUAUAAAUGGCUAAGACAAAAUGGGGAUUACAGAUAGCUGGCUUGGGGUUCCAGAGUUACAAGACUAAGCCUUUGUAGUUAAAGGAAAUGAACUGUUGUAUCAUAGUGGGAGGUUAGAGGCUUAGAGCAUAGUUAGGUUACUUGGGAUCAAGCCCCUGAACAUUAAUUUGAGAAGCAAAUAUUUUUAAGAGGUUGUAAGCAUAUAACUUAGCCCUGGGUGGAUUUCAACUUUUUUUUUUUUGCUACAUUCGACCUGUUAAAUACAUAGAACAAUAUUGACAUGUUUAGUAAGAGGCUUUUGAGGAGCUUAAAGCCCCAUGCUUUAAAAAACAAGCCCGUUUCAGAUAAUAGCCUUGUUUGAAAUGGUUUUUUGAAAAAAAGCCUCAGCCCCAAACCUCCUUUUAAAGGUCUUUAAAAUAAAAGCUUGUCAAAGGUGAGUUGAACAAAAAAAAACCCCAGCUUCUAGCCCCAAGCUCCAGCUUUUUUUACGUGUUAUGUUACAUGUAUAGUAUUGUGCUUGAACUUCUAUUUGAGAUGCUUAUGUGGUUAGUAUAUCUGUCAAUGUAAUGUGUAUUUGGCUGGUUUUGGAAAGCACAAUUCAGUCUCAACUUUUGAUUGUUAAUGAAGAUCUUAACAUGCAAUACUCUUCAUCUGAUGGAAACAUAGAGUCCUUAUAGUCCAGUUGUCUUAAUUCGCCAUUAUACAUGUGUAGUGGUCAUUUGUGCAGGUGACAAAAGGGGGACAUGUUUUGGUUAUCUGUAAGAAUUGGAAAUAGAAUGGGCGCCACAUUUUGAAUGGAAAGGAGUAUAAAUGGUUGAGUUUACUACUUGUGCUUGCUGAACUGAUAUCUGUUUAGAGACAAAACAUUAACCAAAUCAACUUAUUUGAGUAAAGGGUUUAAAAUUGCCAUCUGAAGGCGGUGAAUCCAGUGAUGAUGAAUUUCUAAAUGUUGGAAUAAUAAGACAGAUGAGAUUAGCGGAAUCUUGGCAGGGGGGUGUUAAAGGCCAAGUUUUGAUGCUUCUUUUUUAAUAUGAAAAUAUAAACGGAUGGACAAGUCUAAGCUACUUCGGAGAUGAUGUCAAACAAUUGACAGGAACUUUAAUAAGCCAGUUAGCCUUGGCUGCCAAGAAAAUAUGAAAUACUCAUUGAAGAUAAAUGGCUAUAUCUGGGUGGGGUACCCAUAUACUACCCAUAGUUAAAGAGCAGAGAUUUACGUUUCCACCUGCAACAGGCGUUGUUAGAGAUAGAAGCUGCAGUUGAAGGAAUUUGGUUUUGAAUAUCGUAAACCGCCUAAAAAAGAGGUUUUGAAGAUCUUAGGUUAGGCCAUUAUUUUUACUUUGUCAUAUCUCUGGAGUUAGUUUUGGGAAUUUAUUCUUGUACUAAUAAAAUGUACAUUUUUGUCUUGAA